AAAUUUUGACUUUUAUUAAAAUACCUUUGCAACUCAGCUAGAGCGAUACCUUCGUUUUUUAAACGAUUACUCUUUGUAAUUCUAUCUUCAAGAACACCAUGCUUAGAUUUCUUAGUCAAAGAUCUCCAAUCUUCAAUAAAAGGCUCGUUAUCAUCAUUUUCUAUGAAUGUAGCAGGGCGUAAAUUUGAUACAUUUUUACAUCUUUUACGCUUCCAAGAAAAGCUUGUUUUGGUAGACAUGUUGGAAUCUGUCAUACUUCUGCUCAGCGGACACAGUUGCAGUCCACGUGAUACUUCAAAUUAUAUCACAAUAAAGUAAAAUGCUGAAAUAUGUCAGAUCACUCAGAUGUAGAGGAAUAAUGGUUAACAUAUGGGUCAGGGAGGUUGUAGAACUAGAUUUCUAUUAUCUAGCAAUGUAUAAAAGGGCUACGUUUUGAAUGUGCGGAUGUUUUAACUGUUAAGUUGGAUUAUCCAAGUAAUAUUCCACCAGAUGUUUGAACUCGUGAAUAUUCGUAACCACUUCGGGAAAUGAUCGUGCGAACAUCUGUUCGUUCUGGCGGGAACGCGCGGGAAUUGUAAAGAGUAAAUUUUGGGAAGCUCUGUAUUAUGAAACGAAAAUUAAAAGCUGCAAAAAGUGUGAAAGGGUAUGUUCGCUGCUUUUAUUAUGUGUUUAUAAUACUGUACAUAACUCUCCAUUAAACUUAAUAAAUUUAUAUGCAAUGAAGUAUAUAAAUUUCCUUUUGUAGUGUUUGGUAUUUGCAAUUCUAUUGAUAUCCAAUCCAAUUCUAUCAAUUCAUGAUUCUUGACGUUUAUACAAAACACAUGGGCUGAAUAUAAACAAGUAUUAAUUUAUGUAUAUUUAUUAUUGAAGUUUAGAUCCAACAUAAGUUUGUAUUACUAUACCCAGCUGAUGACUUUGAUGAAACAGGGUUAAAAAAUAGAGGAUUAAUUUCCAUUUAUAAAACCUAUCUAAAAAAUAAAGACCAGUCCAUGGACAAUGCCUCUGUCCAAAUGGACAAUGACUCGGAAAAUUCCUCUUGACCAUUCAACUUUUUGCCUACAUUUGUGUGCCUUGUGAUAGCACAUCAGUCGACAGUUGAAUCACUGUCGACGGUUAACGUUCUGGUCAUGUGACUGCACAGAAAUUGCCUUACUCAAAUUAAGCUAGACUGUAAAGUAUUAUUUUUGUGCGGGGGAACUUUUCCAUCGUAACUGGCAGUUGCACAGAAAUGAAGGCAGAACAUUCUAGAAUGAUCACCAUGGUUGGCAUCAAGUGGAAAGAUUUUGAAAAUGUGAAGUCUUGAGAUUGUCUGAAAUGGCAUUUUCAGAGUUUUCUCUUCCUUUUACUUCAUCAAAAAUAUGCAGAUUUUGUAACAUUUACUUGAAAAUUUGCAGACAGGAAUUCAGCUAAAAUUUCUGCUCCGGGAAUGCAUACAGUCUGGAAAUUAAGUAACAAAUAUUUGGUAUCUCUACAAAUCUUGAAUGAUAUAAAUUUCUAUUUCUUAUAAUUUUUAAUGUGCAUAUUUUCUCAACAAUCGGUUUUAGACAAACAGAAAUAUAGAUCUAUACUGAUUCCGAUUAUCUACCGAUAAGACAAAAAUCAACACUGAGCAGGUUACACCCGCAUUUUGGAAUCAUCACCCGCGUUAAAAAAUGGCAUUUACAGUACUGUAAAUUCACCCACAUUCAUUGAAAUUCACACGCAUCAUCAGAUGAUAAUUCUCCUUAGGAGAUUUGGAGGCUAUGUUGAACUAGCCGUGCACUUAAAACAUGAUUUCAAAGCACAGAAUAUAUUCUCUGUGGUAAACCAUAGAGGAUACAUAUUUCUUUUGUUUAAUUUCGACUGAACGGUUACGACUUUCGAAACUCUGCGAAACUUUAAUUUAUUCCCUUUUACGAAACUUUCCAAAACUUUGCGAAACUUUUAUUUAACCCUGUAUUCUGUAACAUCACUCUUUGUAUUUAUGUACGUAUUUGAAACAAGAACAGAAACAUUGUUCUCUUUUUGGGAAAGCUAGUUGUUAUUGACAUUCUGGUUGUUACAGUGUUUCAGUGCAUUGGCAUCACCUGCAAUUUACUUAGGGUUUACAUCUCUGUAUAUAUAAUGUAGCAUUUCCCAAUUGUUCUGCCUUCAUUUCCACACAAUUUCCAUGGGUCAUGGAGGUAUUCCCACUCAAAAAUAACACUUUACAGUCUGGGCAGAGGGGUUUGGAACGUCAUUUAGCAUUACCUGGUGUUUUUGCAGUGAUGUUCCAGAAAAGAUCCAUACACUGUAGUCCCCCCAGGAAGGAAUUUCUGCCAUCCAGUGAGGCAGCCAGGGGAGAAAAAAUUAUUUCUAAUAAUAGUUAACACUUAUUCAUGAACCGAAGUGGGUGUUAAUAGUGCAAGGAACAAAAAUGACCAAAAAACAACAAAAAUAUUUUGUAAACAUUUUGUACUUCAGCUUCCGUAACACUACAGGUAUAGUUGUAAACGAAACAGUAUUUACACGCUUUUAGUAAUUUUAUUCUUUAGAAAUAGCUUUAGAAUACCUCUAACACUGUUUAUUAUUAGCAUGACAAAAUUACUGGAUGCUGAUUGGUUGAGAGGAGUACAAUUAUUUCAUUAAUUGUACUGCAGGACAAUUAAUGAUUUUCCAACAACAAACAAAAUGGCGGAAAGGUAUUUUAAACACAAGCAUGAAAUGAAAUUGCCCUUGGGGAACUAGAUGAAUAUACGAACAAAAGCACCAAAUUUUGUUUUAACAAAAGAACUAAAUGAAAAUAUGGACAAAAGUGCCAAAUUCUGGUUGAAAAUCUGGCAGGACUGGGCUUUGGCGAGAGAAUAUAUGAUGUUAACAUUGAGAAGUAUAUAUCCAAUUUUGUCAUGCUAAUAAUAAUAGCGAUGUUGCUCGUACAAUUAGGGAUUAAUAGUACUCGCCAUCGCAUGAUUACCUACACUAAUUUAAACAAAGCUUUGUAACUUUCUUAGUUUGUGUUUGCAAAACCGCAUCUUCAUUCAGCACAACAACUUGCUCGUUUGUAUAAACCGGAACAAAACAGAAAGCCAUUUUGUUUUCAUGCUGAGGCGAAUAGUGCAAGGAUAUCCAAAGCUGACCAACCAAUCAAUUUGCUCGAAAACCAUUAUCCACCUCCCGAGUAUAUGCUAAUAAGUGUUAAAUACAGUAGGAUUCAAAGGGGUAGGGUGCUUAACUUGCAAUUGUCUUCAGGUGUGGAGGUACUGUACAGUACGGUAUGCACAUGUUUUCUGGAAUGACCCAUUCCGCCAUUCGACUAUUCAAUAGAGAAGCUGCUAAUCAGCUUUUGGUCUGUGCCAGUGUACAGUAGGUACUGUACAGUACAGAUGUUAAUAAGAAAAGUACCAAUUCAAACUGAGGGUCUGAAAGUUGAUUAAUUGGAGCCCAAAUGCUAAGGAAGGUUUUCCCUCUUCAGAACUCUACCCUCGGACAUUCUGAAUAUAAUAUAUACUGUAUAUCAAUUUUUUUAGAACACCUCCAAUUACAAAGUUUUUCAAGAGAUAUCCUG